rnacentral:rRNA from 2 species
UCAGAUUGAACGCUGGCGGCAGGCCUAACACAUGCAAGUCGAGCGGUAACAUUUCUAGCUUGCUAGAAGAUGACGAGCGGCGGACGGGUGAGUAAUGCUUGGGAACAUGCCUUUAGGUGGGGGACAACAGUUGGAAACGACUGCUAAUACCGCAUAAUGUCUACGGACCAAAGUGGGGGACCUUCGGGCCUCACGCCUAAAGAUUGGCCCAAGUGGGAUUAGCUAGUUGGUGAGGUAAUGGCUCACCAAGGCGACGAUCCCUAGCUGGUUUGAGAGGAUGAUCAGCCACACUGGGACUGAGACACGGCCCAGACUCCUACGGGAGGCAGCAGUGGGGAAUAUUGCACAAUGGGCGCAAGCCUGAUGCAGCCAUGCCGCGUGUGUGAAGAAGGCCUUCGGGUUGUAAAGCACUUUCAGUAAGGAGGAAAGGUUGGAUGUUAAUAGCAUUCAGCUGUGACGUUACUACAGA